rnacentral:rRNA from 1 species
GCGUCCCCAAGUCAGGCGUGAAUACCCG